UGCCAGCCGCCGCGGUGAUACGGAGGGUGCAAGCGUUAAUCGGAAUUACUGGGCGUAAAGCGUGUGUAGGCGGUCUGCUAAGUCGGAUGUGAAAGCCCCGGGCUUAACCUGGGAAUUGCAUUCGAUACUGGUAGACUUGAAUUUGGUAGAGGAAAGUGGAAUUCCGGGUGUAGCGGUGAAAUGCGUAGAUAUCCGGAGGAACAUCAGUGGCGAAGGCGGCUAACUGGCUCGGUACUGACGCUGAGAUGCGAAAGCGUGGGGAGCAAACAGGAUUAGAUA
rnacentral:rRNA from 1 species